GCAGCCGCCGCGGGAAUACGUAGGUGGCAAGCGUUGUCCGGAAUUAUUGGGCGUAAAGCGCGCGCAGGUGGUUUAAUAAGUCUGAUGUGAAAGCCCACGGCUCAACCGUGGAGGGUCAUUGGAAACUGUUAAACUUGAGUGCAGGAGAGAAAAGUGGAAUUCCUAGUGUAGCGGUGAAAUGCGUAGAGAUUAGGAGGAACACCAGUGGCGAAGGCGGCUUUUUGGCCUGUAACUGACACUGAGGCGCGAAAGCGUGGGGAGCAAACAGGAUUAGAUACCCCAGUAGUCCCUGUCUCUUAUAC
rnacentral:rRNA from 1 species